rnacentral:rRNA from 1 species
AUGCAGCCAUAUCUUGAGCUAGCUUCUCUCCGCAUCACCACCACCAUCCCGCUGUCCCCAAGAAUAUAUAGCACGAUCUUCCUCCAGGCCAUGGCUGCCAUGGCCUAUAUAGCCCUCCGGGGUGCGGCAUUGGCCGCCAUCGUCGCCCUCAUCCAUUGGGUGUACAGGUGGCGCCACCCCAAAUGCGCCGGCACGCUCCCGCCGGGAUCCAUGGGUAUCCCCAUCAUCGGCGAGACGCUGCAGUUCUUCGCCCCCAACCCGACCUGCGGCCUCUCCCCCUUCGUCCGGGACAGGGUGAAGAGGUACGGGAGCAUGUUCAAGACGAGCAUCGUGGGGCGCCCGGUGGUGGUGUCGGCGGACCCGGACGUGAACCACUACGUGUUCCAGAACGAGGGGAAGCUGUUCGAGAGCUGGUACCCGGACACCUUCACCGAGAUCUUCGGCCGCGACAACGUCGGCUCCCUGCACGGCUUCAUCUACAAGUACCUCAAGACCCUCGUGCUCCGCCUCUACGGCCAGGAGAACCUCAAGGCGGUGCUCCUCGCCGAGACCGACGCCGCCUGCCGCGGCAGCCUCGCCGCGUGGGCGGCGCAGCCCUGCGUCGACAUCAAAGACGGGCUCUCCACUAUGAUCUUUGAUCUUACGGCCAAGAAGCUGAUCGGCUACGAGCCGACCAAGUCGUCGGAGAGCCUGCGGGAGAAUUUCACGGCGUUCAUUCGCGGCCUGAUCUCGUUCCCCCUCAACAUUCCCGGCACGGCCUAUCACGAAUGCAUGGAGGGGAGGAAGAAGGCGAUGAAGGUGCUCAAGGGCAUGAUGAAGGAGAGGAUGGCGGAUCCGGAGAGGAAGUGCGAGGACUUCUUCGACCACGUGAUCCAGGAACUGAGGAGGGAGAAGCCGCUUCUGACGGAAACCAUCGCGCUGGACCUCAUGUUCGUGCUCCUCUUCGCCAGCUUCGAGACCACGGCGCUGGCGCUCACUCUCGGCGUCAAGCUGCUCACCGAGAACCCCAGAGUCGUCGACGCGCUAACGGAGGAACACGAAGCGAUCGUCAGGAACAGGGAGGACCCAGAUGCCGCGGUCACGUGGGCCGAGUACAAGUCGAUGACCUUCACAGCUCAGGUGAUAAUGGAGAUCGUCAGGCUCGCCAACAUCGUGCCGGGGAUUUUCCGGAAGGCCUUGCAAGACGUUGAGAUCAAAGGCUACACAGUUCCAGCGGGAUGGGGUAUCAUGGUGUGUCCGCCGGCGGUGCACCUAAACCCUGACAUAUACGAAGAUCCGCUGGCGUUCAACCCAUGGAGGUGGCAGGGCAAACCUGAAAUCACCGGUGGAACCAAGCAUUUCAUGGCGUUCGGAGGCGGGCUUCGGUUCUGCGUCGGAACCGAUCUCACCAAGGUCUUGAUGGCAACAUUCAUUCACAACCUGGUUACGAAAUACAGAUGGAAGACGGUCAAAGGAGGAAACAUAGUCCGGACUCCGGGCCUCGGCUUCCCGGAUGGCUUUGACAUCCAGCUAUUCCCUAAGAACUGA